ACUCGGCGUAAAGGGUGGUUAAAUUAAUUAUAAACUAAAGCCGAACCCCCUCAGAACUGUUAUACGUACUCGAAGGUUAGAAGCCCCCUUACGAAAGUAGCUUUAAUACUUUUGACCCCACGAAAGCUGCGAAACAAACUGGGAUUAGAUACCCCACUAUGCCCAGCCGUAAACCUUGAUAGUUAAAUUACACAUACUAUUCGCCCGGGUACUACGAGCAUUAGCUUAAAACCCAAAGGACUUGGCGGUGCUUAAGACCCACCUAGAGGAGCCUGUUCUAGAACCGAUAACCCCCGUUAAACCUCAACCUUCCUUGUUUAUCCCGCCUAUAUUCCGCCGUCGUCAGCUUACCCUGUGAAAGAUCUACAGUAAGCAGUCGUAGCA
rnacentral:rRNA from 1 species